ensembl:lncRNA
UGAAGCUGGAAAUCAGCAGGACUUAUACUGUUCUGUCUACUUUUACAUAUGUGUGAAAUUUCCACAAAUGUUUAUUAUAUGUGCAAACCGACUUGAUUCAAAUGCCUGAAAAUGUAGAUUUUUAGCAGGCUGACCAGAGUGAUAUUUAGGUUCUCCGAAGUCAGUUCUUUUAGAGAGCUUCUCAACCUUGGCUAUACAGUAGAGUCCCUUGGGAAGCUUUAAACAAGCCAGUGUUCAGACCACAUCCCUGAUGGAUGAAAUCAGAAUCUUUGGGGGUUCAAUCUGGGCAUCUGUAUUUUUUGGAAACUCUUUGGAUAGCUGCAUGAUGCAGCCACAUCUGAGACCUACUGAUACAGCACACCCUAUCUCUCCUCAUACAUCAGUAGUCUGUUAAGGUCCCACAUUUCUCAGCGAUUGAUAGGUACACAGGNNNNNNNNNNNNNNNNNNAAGAGCGUGGAUGUUUUCUCAUGCUAUCUCUAAAAUGGGCUUUGUGAUAGCAGCUGAAAACAGUUGUUACGUUGACUGGUGCUAGAAAGCAGAGCAAGUUACCACACACCCUCUUUCACAUGUUUCCACCAGGUGACUGAACUGCUGUGUGAUUUAAAGCCUGGUUAAUACAGAGGCUCCUAGAGCCCAGUGGCCUCAGGUUUUAGCCUCUGGCUCAGGAGUUCCCCAGAAACUAAUCCAGAGGUGAACAUUUCUGUGCAAGCGAUUUAUUAAUAAGUACCCCAGGAAAACUAGGGUGGAGGCGGAGGAAACAGGAGAGAGAAAGGGAGGAAGCCCAGCAAAUUGCUAUAGAGCCCACAGAGGCAGUUUUAGCCUGAUCACACAGGGGAGCUGCAGAGGGGACCUCUUACCUCUGAAUUGUCCCCACCCAAGGAAAAGGAAAUGGGGUUUUCCUUAUCUGCAUUUGGUGAUGAAGGGCUACUCCAGAGAGAUAUAAAUUUCCAGGACCUUCCUGCCCUUUGAAGUGCAAGGAAACUCCAAAAUCGGUCCUCUUCUUGCUGAAGGAAGCAAAAGCAUCUUGAAGUUAGCAAGAGCCAGGGAGCAUCACACAGAAAAGGUUCAAAGGUAUUCAGUGGGAUCUGGAAAGAAUAUGAAUAUUAUUCCCUAUAGUCUCCAAAAUGACCUUUGUUAGAAGCAGCUAAAAACAAUUGCCUGGGUGAGUUGUGCUAGAAAGCAGAGUUAACCAUUAACAAAACCUGUCACCUUCUGUGGAACAGUUCACCCUGUCCAAUAUUCUUUGAUAACGCAGAUAGCAAAUAGGCUUCAAUUCAACUCUGAAUUGAUUGGUAAGGGCUACCUACAGCAUUUUAUUGUGCAAGGACUGUGAGCUCCCGUUGGAAGUGUCACAUUCAAUUAGCGAUGCCUGCUGUGAGUAGUUACUGUUGCAAUCACAGUAGUUACUGUCAGAGAACUGUUAUGUCUAAGGUAUCACUAGAAUGCCUGGGCAGGUUUUUUAAAAUACUGAUGCCUGGAUCCUCCCUCCAGAGAUUCUGCUUUAGUUUGAGGAGGGGAACCCGGCAGCUAUGUUUUGUUAAAGCAUCCCAAGUGAUUCUAUUAUCGCUGCAAAGGCAAAGAAGCCCAGCAAUGUUCUGCUAAGUCACCAUGCUACUUCCCAGUUGUUCCAGGAAAUAUUUUCAGGCACACUUAAAAAGAGUGAAAUAAAUCCUCCAAAAAGCAAAUAUUUUAUUUAUAUUUCUGUUCUUAGACUCAUAAAAAUGCCUUUUCAAACAUGAACAGCAGAACACUUGUUUUGUCUUGAAACUUCAUUAUGGUGUGGACCUUGAGUAGGCUAGGCAUGACCAAAAUCUUCAUUUGCCUUGUAUGAAGAGACAUAAAUUAUUGAUUUCUUUUCACACAUCCCUCAAAUAAUUACAUUUCCAUAUGCAUAUCAUCAUAAGGCAACAGUAUUUAACUACAGAAAACAUUGCUUAAAUGUAUAUAUUUGUAAUUCCUAAGGCAAAAAUAAUAGCUUAUGUGUGAUGUAGUUCAGUGUUUCUGCUCAUUACAAGAUGAUUUAGCAACAGUAUGACUACUUGCUAAAACUAUGUUACAAACUUGCAUGCCAUCUUGUGGAAGAUGGUGCAAGUGGUGUAAUUACAAAGUAAAUAUUCCAAAAAUAUAUUUAAUAAAUUAUGACUGUGGUUUUCUCCAAACAUCUGCCUUUCAUGUAGAGAGUUAAAGGUGUUUUUCUAGGUAAUUACAACUUUUCUUAAAAUCACUUUUUUCCCAAUUAUAUACUGUUUCAAGCCAAAUUAUUCUUUAUCUUGAAUAACCCAGGUAAUUGCCUCAAUUCUCAAAUUCAUUUAGCUAGUAUAUGCCUAUACAAAAUAUUUCAAUACAUAUCAGGACUUUCCAAGAAUGUCAUAAUGUAUGAUUUAAUCCUUUCUCUCUUUUCUCCUGGUGUCACAAAGAAAUGAAAUUUUAAGUGAAGACUAGAAGACCAGGCCAUUGGGCCAACUCAGACAUUAAUAUUUUAGAUACAUACCCAGAAGUGAGAUUGCUAAACCAUAUGGUAGUUUUCUUUUAAAUUUUUUUGAGGAAACUCCAUACUGUUUUACAUAGAGGCUGAGCCAUUGUGCAUCCUCUUCAACAAUGUACAAGGUUUUCAGUUUCUCUACAUCCUUGCCAGUACCUGUUGUCUGUUUUUUCAAUAAUAGCCAUCUUGAGUAUUAUGAGGUAAUAACUCAUUGUGGUUUGGAUUUGCAUUUCCCUGAUGACAUUGAGCACUUUUUUAACAUUCCUUUUGGUCAUUUGUAUGUCUUUUUUGGAGAAAUGUCUUUUCAAAUCCUUGGCCCAUUUUUAAAUUGGGUUAUGCUGGGAGUUGCUAUUGAGUUAUAGGAGUUCCAUACAUAUUUUAGAGAUUAACCACUUAUCAGAUAUGUGGCUUGCAAAUAUUUUCUCCUGUUCUAUAGGUUGCCUUUUCAUUUUGUUAAUUGUUUACUUUUCUGUGUAGAAGAUUUUUAGUUCAAUGUAGACCAACUUGUUUAUUUUUGCUUUUGUUGUCUAUGUUUUUGGUGUCAUAUCCAUAAAAUCAUCGCCAGGAUCAAUGUCAUGAAGCUUUCUUCUCUGUUUUCUUCUAAGAGUUUUACUGUUUCAGGUCUUACUUUCAAGGCCUUGUUAUGUUUUGAGUUGAUUUUUUGUGUAUGGUAUAAGAUAAGUGUCCAUUUUCAUUUUUUUCAAUGUGAAUAUCCAGUUUUCCCAUUUGUUGAAGAGACUAUUCCAGCUUCAUUCUUCUUUCUCAAGAUUGUUUUGGUAAUUCAUGGUUUUUCGUGGUCCCAUAUGAAAUUUUAGGAUUAUUUUUUCCAUUUCUGUAAAAAGCACCAAUGGUGUUUUGAUAGGGAUUGCAUUGAAUCCAUAGAAUUGAAAUCAUAUUUUGAAGAGAUAACAGCCUUCUCAAACUGCAGAAUUACUCACAAUAGCCAAGACGUAGAAAUAAGCUGUAUGUCCACUGACAGAUAAAUAUAUAAAAUGAGUUAUAUACACAUAACGGAAUAUUAUUCAAUUUUCUAAAAGGAGAAAAUCCUGCAGUAUGCAACAAUAUAGAUAAAACCUGGAGUCAUUAUGCUAAAUGAAAUAAGCCAGCCACAGAAGGAAAAAUACUCCAUGAUUCCAGUUAGAUGGGUAUCUAAAAUAAUCAAAUUCAUAGAGGCAGAGAGCCAAGUGGUGGUUGUCAGGGACAGGAAGGAAGGGAAAAUGGAGAAUUGCUAAUCAUUGGCUUUAAAGCUUCAUUCACACAAGAUGAGUGAGUUCUAGAGAUCUGCUCUACAACUUUUUGUCUAUAGUUAAUGAUAUUGUAUUAUACACUUAAAAAUCUAUUAAGAGUGUAGAACUCAUAUUGUGUUCUCAUAAAUGAUGAAAUGAAUUUUCAAAGUUAUCCUACAAAAAUGUUGAGAGUCUCCUAUAAAUCAAUAAGAAUAGCCACUGCUUAUUUGAAAGACACAAAUGCAGAUAACACAAGAGUAUUGAUACAUCAACACUACCACAAACCAGUUAGGCAAAAACUAGUCAUUCCCUUGCUGUCUUAAUUGACAUCAAGCAGCCAGGAAAAAAGUUAGUUUUUCUACUAGGCGCAAAAGAUUUUCCUCUUACUGAGUUUGGGUGAAGAUUUGUGUAGAAUAGGCAUUACCCAAGUGCAGUGAUGUUAACUUCUGAUUAAUUUUUCAAAUAUGGGUGGCAGAAGAUUUGAGUUUGAAGAGGAUCAUUAGUGCAUAAUUUUCUUUUGUGUGUGUGUGUAUAAAUAGACUUAAAUUAUGGAUUCCUGUGUAGUGGCUCCUGGGAUGGCUGCCCCUCCCUAAUCUUUUGACACUGACCACAGCAAGUUUUAGAGUUCCUCCUACUUCCAAUUAGGCAACCACCUUUUUUCUCCUCUCAAGGGUGAUGACGUCUUAGAACAUUCCUAAGAAAGCAAUCUCAGACAAUAGUUAAAAUUGAUGAAGAUUAUGAACAUCCUGCCCAUUUAAGAGACCAUCAGGACAUGUCCCAUCAAUGCUUACAUACUUCAGUGACCCCAAAAGCUUAAUCCUCAUCUCCAGGACAAUUGCACAUCCUUCCCAAUACUCCUCAACCCUCCCAAGAUGCCUUUAGGAAUUCACUCUCUCCUCCCAGAGGCAGCAAAUUCAUGCCUUCUUCCCUCUCUUUCAAUCUCUAGCACUCCCCACCGUCUCUUCCCUCUCCCUACUCUCUGUUGCUCACCUUGCUACCUACUUCACUGAGAAAAGUAGAAACAACUAAAGGAAAACAUCCAAUGGCCUCUCUAGUUAAAAUUAUCAAUUAUAGUUUUAAAAAUUAGCAACUACUUCCUUAAAGAAGUCCUUAGCUCCUUCCCUGCUCUAUAUUCCUCUGUCACUUGGCACCAUCUGAUGCAUUGAAAUAAGCAAUCUUUCUUCUCCCACUAGAAAGAACAUAAGCUUCAGAAAAUCAGGGGUUCUCAUUUUCCUUACUAAUGGAGUCCCACUUUCUAGAACAUUGCUUGUCUCUAGUAAGUGCUGAAUAAAUAACUGUUGUACAGGCAGAAGAAUGAAUAAGAAAUCACUAUUUCUACUAAAUUUUUGCAUAUGCCCCCUGUAUUCUUCCCUGUUUCUCGAGAUGAACAAACUGUGCUUCUUAUGCCAAGCUCUCCACCUAAACACUGGAUGUCAUCACACUUUGCCUAUGCAAGGCCAUCACUCCAGCAAUUGUUGCCACUCUCUCCAACAUUAUUUGUUUUCUCCUCCAUACUAAAUUAUUCCCAUCAGCAAAAAAAGUACUGAAAUAUUUCUCAUUAUUCAAAACUAAAAUUUCCCUUGAUUCCACAUCCUCAGGGUACUGCCCAAUUUCUCCACUCAGCUUUUUACGAAAACUCAUUGAAAGUGGUCUCUGAAUGCUGUUCCUGCUUUCCUCAUCUCUGAUUCUCUUGAAGCUUCUCUAAUCAGACUUUGAUUCUCACUGCUCUACUGAGCACAUCUACUUAUCAAAGUCACCAAAGAUAUCCAUUCAUUCAUUCACCAAAAACUGCUAUGUGCCAGGCACUCUCCUGAGUUCUGGAAAAUAACACAUUGCCACCUUAAGUGAUCAGUAAUCUCAGUUCUCAACUAUCUUAGCAGUCAGCAGCACUUGAUCAAUCCCUUCUUCUUGAAAUACACCCACUUGUGCUUCUGGAAGUCAGUCCACUCUCCUGAUUUUAGCUUACUGGCCCUGCUUAGUCUGAUUUUCUCAAUCCUUUUCCUCUUUCUAAUUUCCAAAUGUUGGAAUACCCCCAAACUCAGUUCUGAACUUUUUGCUCUUCCCUCUUGUAUCCACACUUACUCCCUACAUAAUCUCAUCUGGUCCUCAGAGGUAAUUACUAUGUGCAAGCUGAUGACUUCAAACAAUGCACCAACCCUCUGCCUUUGCUGAGCUCCAAAUAUUUUAAUCUAGAUGACUUCUCUUCCUGCAUGUCUGGCUUCUGUAUCUCAAGAGGUUCAAAAUGAAGCUUAAUUUUCCUCCUCAACCCCACUGCUCUUUAACAACUUGCUCUGUCCAAAAAACCUAGAAACUCUUUUGAUCUUCUCUAUGCUUUACACGCUACAUCCACAUUUAUCUACAAGUCUGUGAACAUUACCCUUAAAAUACAUGCAAAUUACUCUACUUAGUGAAAUUUACUAUGUCUGCUGCUUACUUUGAAGUACAUACAAAGAUGGGAAGGAUGGACAGACGAACACAAGGAUGGAUGGCUAUGUGACAAUGCAAUGUAGUUGAAACUAUAGAANNNNNNNNNNNNNNNNNNNNNNNNNNNNNNNNNNNNNNNNNNNNNNNNNNNNNNNNNNNNNNNNNNNNNNNNNNNNNNNNNNNNNNNNNNNNNNNNAUUCCUGCCAUCAUUUGUUACUAAAUGGAAAACAGAGAGGACUGAAGUUUGGAGGUCCAGCAGUGAACCUGUUUAUGUCUGUCCUGAUUAUAUCACAUGAACCCAGAAUUCAGUUGUCUUGGAAGCCCAGUCUUUUCAGUUAUUGCAGCCACAAGUCUCAUUUGAAUCAAGUUUUCUCUAACCCCAAAGAUCCUAAUAUACUUUUUAAAGUGAUUAAGUCUCCUAAAAAGACAAAAAAAAAAAAAA